AUUGAACGCUGGCGGAAUGCUUUACACAUGCAAGUCGAACGGUAGAGGGGGCAACCCCUUGAGAGUGGCGAACGGGUGAGUAAUAUAUCGGAACGUGCCCAGUCGUGGGGAUAACGUAGCGAAAGUUACGCUAAUACCGCAUACGAUCUACGGAUGAAAGCGGGGGACUCGCAAGAGCCUCGCGCGAUUGGAGCGGCCGAUAUCAGAUUAGGUAGUUGGUGGGGUAAAGGCUCACCAAGCCAACGAUCUGUAGCUGGUCUGAGAGGACGACCAGCCACACUGGAACUGAGACACGGUCCAGACUCCUACGGGAGGCAGCAGUGGGGAAUUUUGGACAAUGGACGCAAGUCUGAUCCAGCCAUUCCGCGUGCAGGAUGAAGGCCCUCGGGUUGUAAACU
rnacentral:rRNA from 1 species